UAGAAAGCAGAGCAACAUUAGGCCUCACUGGAUGUGGUUAUGGUUAGUUCAUAAAGGCUUCCUCUGGUUUGUUAUGUGAUCCAUUGGCUACUUUCAGUUACUUGUAACUAGCAGUGCAAACGUCCCAUCAUAGUUUUGUAUGUCUGUGUUCAUUCUGUACCGUAGGAGCCCAGUGUGUCCAUGAACUGAUCACUUUGGUUAAAUAUUAGAAAAUAACAUGCUGACUUGAAGCAUGAGACGGGACGUUUGGUCUGGUCUGUGAUGGUCAUGUGGUUUGACAUCCAACUUUCUACCCUGACUGUCUCUGUCCAACAUUUUGCUGCAGUGUAAUUAUGUCCCACUGCUUCCUGUUGUUCGUCUUUGCCGACCAAGCUCAGUCCAUCCCAAAGAUGACUGAGGCUUUCUACCAUUGUGACCCAGUCACAAACUGUAAUAAUUUAACAAAACAAUUGAAUAUUUUUAAAAUGUGCUUAGAACACAAAAGUUAGUUGUGACUUGAGUCUUCAAGUGUGUGUCCAUCCACCUGAGUGGAAACACCAGAACAUUUUUUUGGUUGGCUGAGUUGGAAAAGUUGGUGUUUUGAGGCAAAGAAAGAUGCGAUUGAGUUGACCUCAUGCUGGUGUUCAAGCAGCACCGCUUGUUCUCUUCUUGUGUGGUGAGUUUUUGCUCGCUCAUUCCUCUCCGGUGUGACUGAGAUGCCGGCCUCUACUUAUGUAGACACUUGUCAGACGUAAUAAUGUCUUACUGCUCAUGUCUCUUUCUCCAUCUGCUUGCUUUUCAGUGAUGUCACCAUGUUCACUGGUUUCAACCAUCAACAAGUAAAAUGUUUACAGGACAAAGACAAUAUGUGGUUUGGUGGCAGAAGAGGACCAUGAUUCACUUGCUGUGAGAAGCAACAGCAGCAGCUUUCUGUGCACAGCUGCACAAAGAAGAUGAGCACAAACGUCAGUCUGGAGCUGAUGAUCCAAUUCUGUGUAACACAACACUUAAAACUGUAUUUCAUGACCGGAGCCACGUAUGUACCUAUUUGAAGAUGCUGCAGGAUCCCUGAAAGGUGUCAUGUGACUGUUUGUCUGGUGCCCUGCCCCUACCAGGUGUGCCUCGCUCUUCUGACAUUGUGUGAACAGUAAAAUCAGCAGGCGCUGAAGGCAUCAGCCACGAGUAUUUAAGUGUGGAGAAGAUGCGACUGAUAUUCAGACCGGGGAAAGACGAGGAACCGCAAUCGCACCUCUGUGUCCAUUCCAGCUGUAGAGCGCUGAGAGAAUCACCCCUGAGCCAUGCGUCCUCUCGUGGUUUCUGCCAUCUUACUUCUGGUGGCUCUGAUGCACAUGGCGGAGGCUAACGUUGCUACAAUUUCUAGAAUCUGUAACAGCAAGUAUCCAGACGUAAAAUGCAACGUGAAAGACUGGUACAGGCUGGAUAACAAGCGAUGCAUGAAGAUCUACGUACAAUUCCUGACCUUUUCUGAUGCAGAGAAACGUUGUAAGGCAGACGGUGGGCAACUGGUGUCAAUACACAACCUUGACAACUAUGACAAAGUGCUGUGUAACAUGUUCAGGUUUGCUAUUAGGAAACAGGUUUUCUGGAUUGGAGCCAGGAGAGGUGGGGUGAGUCCUGAAUUCCUCUGUACAUACAUAAGGAAGAUGAGUGAGUGGAGAGCUGAUGGAUGGAUGAAUCAAAUACUACGAUGACUGACAGAAAGAAAAAUGCUGUUUCUUCUUCCCAUUUGACUGACCUUUUCUUUCUAGCAUGGAUUUUAUUGGGUUGAUGGAAGUGGACGCAUGGGGUUCAGCAGAUGGGCGAGAUGGCAACCAGACAACUGGUUUAACAGGGAGCACUGUGUCGAGAUGAAUUACGGGAGUUGGGGACGUUGGAACGAUGAAAACUGCAAUUCCAAGAGGCCCUUUAUGUGUGCCAAAAACAUGUGAUCAUCAUCAGUAAUGUUUGAUUGACAAGAUGAUCUUUUAAAAUGUGCUGCAGCUGGGCUUGUUUCAUGGCAACCACUGCAAACAUGCAGCAAGUUUUAAGCAUUAAGAAAAAAGAACAAAAAAUGACUCCAAUAAACUAUCAGCAUCAGAAAA